GAUGAACGCUGGCGGCGUGCCUAAUACAUGCAAGUCGAGCGAACAGACGAGGCGCUUGCUCCUCUGACGUUAGCGGCGGACGGGUGAGUAACACGUGGAUCACCUACCUAUAAGACUGGGAUAACUUCGGGAAACCGGAGCUAAUACCGGAUAAUAUAUUGAACCGCAUGGUUCAAUAGUGAAAGACGGUUUUGCUGUAUCUUCUCGAUGGAUCUGCGCCGCAUUGGCUAGUUGGUAAGGUAACGGCUUACCAAGGCGACGAUGCGUAGCCGACCUGAGAGAGGGAUAGGCCACCCUGGAACUGAGACACCGUCCAGACUCCUACGGGAGGCAGCAGUAGGCAAUGUUCCGCAAUGGGCGAAAACCUGACGGAGCAACGCCACGUGAGUUAUGAAGGUCUUCGGAUCGUAAAACUCUGUUAUUAGUGAAGAACAAAUGUGUAAUUAAAUGUGCACGUCUUGACGGUACCUAAUCAGAAAGCCCCGGCUAACUACGUG
rnacentral:rRNA from 1 species